rnacentral:misc_RNA from 1 species
GCAAACUUGGUCAUUUAGAGGAAGUAAAAGUCGUAACAAGGUCUCCGUUGGUGAACCAGCGGAGGGAUCAUUACAAAAAGAGUGAAAACUCGCCAACCCUUUGUGAACAUACCUAAACAGUUGCUUCGGCGGGCAGCCCCAGGGCGGGGCCGCCGCCUCCCCUCGGGGGAGGUGCCCGCCAGAGGCCAACCAAACUCUUGCUUUCACCGGCCUUCUGAGUUACAAAAAAUAAAUAAAUCAAAACUUUCAACAACGGAUCUCUUGGCUUUGGCAUCGAUGAAGAACGCAGC